rnacentral:rRNA from 2 species
ACGGAGGGUGCAAGCGUUAAUCGGAAUUACUGGGCGUAAAGCGCACGUAGGCUGUAGUGUAAGUCAGGGGUGAAAUCCCACGGCUCAACCGUGGAACUGCCUUUGAUACUGCACAACUUGAAUCCGGGAGAGGGUGGCGGAAUUCCAGGUGUAGGAGUGAAAUCCGUAGAUAUCUGGAGGAACAUCAGUGGCGAAGGCGGCCACCUGGACCGGUAUUGACGCUGAGGUGCGAAAGCGUGGGGAGCAAACAG